CUGACUAAUCAGUCAAAGCAUAUAUUAAAUUUUAAAUUAUAGGAUAUUCCGCUCGGUACCAAUUACAUAUAGGUUAAAAAUCAUGCUAACAUCGUAAUGGAGGUACUGGCUUAGUAACUAACAACUUAACUUAGCAUAUUAAGGCGAUUUCAAUUGGCUAAAAGUUUGUUCUCUAAUGGACUGGGCACCAGCCUUAACUAUUAUUUGAUGAAAAUGUACGGGAGUAACAUGAUAACUUCUCACCCAAGUACAUUUAAAUCAAGAGUUUAGUUAGAAAUGGUGCAUUAGUCAAUCCUAGAUUUGUUGAAAAGUUAAUUAAUUAGUCUUUGGAUUUCUUAUUAUUUAAAAGUUAUUUUUGGUAUUUUGUGUCUUAGGGGUUUUUUAAGGUUAAGAUUUUAGGUAUCUAUGCCUAUUAGGACUAAAGUUUUCUUUAGAUUUCUCUAUUUAUAAGAGUGUUCAGGCGAAAUGUAAUCUCUGUGGGUUAUGAAGCUUUCUUAACGAUUUUUUAGUGUUGCUUAAGGAAUAUUCGUAGUUUCGGAAUCUGUUUGUUGUUUGUUCAGCGUACUCUAAUUUUCAACUUUGUAUCAAAGCAUGCUUGAUCCUUAAGAAUUUAAACACUCUUGUUUAGUAUUAGUCUGUCUAUUGCUUUCUGGUCUCUUCGCUUCUCUGUUGUUUGUUUUCUCUAUUAGGGUAUAGAUUCAUCACAUUUAUUAAAUGAAAGCUUCAAAAUCUUAUUUAUUCUAAAGUUUUAUAAUAUAGUUAGCAUUCUCUUCUGUGAAAAAAAUUUCCUAAUAGAGAAUACUCCUAAAUCCUUAUUAAGGUGGAACAAAAAGAUUUGGUUGAUAGAGAAUCAUCAGCUCAAGUGACCAAAUUAGGAGAACGUCACUUGAGAGAAAACAUCUCAAUAAUGAUUGAUCACAGAAACUUCACCAUCGACAGGACUUUUCAUUUCAAUUUCCGAACGAUGUUAAAAUGAGAAAGCAGAAAGAAAGUGAAAAUUCGAUUAUAUUUCAUUGUAUGACUUACAGCAGAGUAACGAAAGCUAAAAUGUACGGGAAAAUAUUC
rnacentral:lncRNA from 1 species